UUUCUCACACAAACCAAUGACGUAACAAUCAAUACCUGCUCCCAAGAGAAGAUAAUUCUGCAAUACGCAAAGACGGAUUAACUAGCUAACUGAAUUUGCACAGAAAUUUGCAUAAGGAUCGCUAGAACCUGCGUCCAAGUUGAAAAGACUUCAUUGAAUUCCAGCAUACCAGUAGCUAAUCAUUGGAUUCUAGCAUACCAGUAGCUAAUCAUUGGAUUCCAGCAUACCAGUAGCUAAACAUUGGAUUCCAGCAUACCAGUAGCUAAUCAUUGAAUUCCAGCAUACCAGUAGGUAAUCAUUGAAUUCCAGCAUACCAGUAGCUAAUCACUGGAUUCCAGCAUACCAGUAGGUAAUCAUUGGAUUCCAGCAUACCAGUAGGUAAUCAUUGGAUUCCAGCAUACCAGUAGCUAAUCAUUGGAUUCCAGUAGCUAAUCAUUGGAUUCCAGCAUACCAGUAGCUAAUCAUUGGAUUCCAGCAUACCAGUAGCUAAUCAUUGGAUUCCAGCAUACCAGUAGCAAAUCAUUGGAUUCCAGCAUACCAGUAGCUAGUCAUUGGAUUCCUGCAUACCAGUAGCUAGUCAUUGGAUUCCAGCAUACCAGUAGCUAAACACAGGAUUCCAGCAUACCAGUAGGUAAUCAUUGGAUUCCAGCAUUCCAGUAGGUAAUCACUGGAUUCCUGCAUACCAGUAGGUAAUCACUGGAUUCCAGCAUACCAGUAGGUAAUCAGUGGAUUCCAGCAUACCAGUAGCUAAUCAUUGGAUUCUAGCACACCAGUAGCUAAUCAUUGGAUUCCAGCAUACCAGUAGGUAAUCAUUGGAUUCCAGCAUACCAGUAGGUAAUCAUUGGAUCCCAGCAUACCAGUAGGUAAUCAUUGGAUCCCAGCAUACCAGUAGGUAAUCAUUGGAUCCCAGCAUACCAGUAGGUAAUCAUUGGAUCCCAGCAUACCAGUAGGUAAUCAUUGGAUCCCAGCAUACCAGUAGGUAAUCAUUGGAUCCCAGCAUACCAGUAGGUAAUCAUUGGAUCCCAGCAUACCAGUAGGUAAUCAUUGGAUCCCAGCAUACCAGUAGGUAAUCAUUGGAUCCCAGCAUACCAGUAGGUAAUCAUUGGAUCCCAGCAUACCAGUAGGUAAUCAUUGGAUUCCAUCAGAGUGUGAGUAGGGGAAGAGAAACCCUGUGGCCGGUCCACAAUAUAUACAACUUUUACCACACAAACAGUUAAGGUGAAGGAUGGAUGCUUACCUAUGUCUGGUCUGUGUGACAAGGUUUUUCUUUUUCGUUCUGAGAAAUAUGUUGCAACAUUUAAUUAAAACAUUCACCAUAAAAAUGCCGUUGACAAGUGGUCUGCUGGUAAAAACAAACAUGGGGUAUAUUAGUAAAAUAAAAGUGAGCACUUCAACCAGGUUAGGAGUGUUACAUCUAUAUGUACAUUAUCAAUUCAUUUGCUGUUAAUGUCGUCAGUCAUUUGUGCAGGGAAUUUUCCCCCUAUUUCUAUGGCUAAAAAUAGAAUACAUAGAAACAUGCUUCCUACAUGGUGAAAAAAUAACUUCAUUCAACAGAUAGCUGGCUGCAAAGAAAUGCUGAUGAUGUGAAGCAGAUUCAACGCAAGUCCCACCAAGGCACAGGAGGAAUCUGAUUGUCAAACAAGAAGACAGUAGAUGGUACUGUAAGCUUGUGUAAAUGUGCGGUUUGCAUACAAAACAAAUCAUUAUAUAUUAACUCUGAAAUAUUCCAGAAUGAUUGACUUGUGUUGCUUAUUUCAAAAUCAAAAUGAAAUGAACAUUAAUCAUAUUACUUAAAGAAUUUAUUUAUAUUCAUGUACGUAUUACCCUGUUAAUAUUUACCAAACACAUUAAGAGGACAAUAUAAAAAAAACAUGAUUUUUUUAAUUGAUUUGAUUUUCACCCAUUGAUCAAUGUUCAGUUAAUAGUAAUGUUAAAUUAAACAUGUUUAAAAAAACAAAACAAAAACAACAAAAAAACUACUAUACCAUGAGGUUACACAGCUGGAGCGUGGGUAUACAUAGCUGCUGCCACCAGGCUGUAAAACCUAGUCCAUCAUGUCUCUCAUCUACAAACAUCUAGUGCCCACAUUUACCAAAAACAAAUCAUAAACAAUUUGUACAUCACUUCUUUGCAUCAAUACAUAAGGAGUUUGCCACAUACAACACAGAUUUAGAGGACCAAAGGAGUUUUUUAACACUGGUACACUGUGUAUUAUCAGGUAAGUAAUUUUUUGAGAUUCACUAAGCAUGGGAAUGAUUAAAUUUAAGAACUGGACACGAGUUAAAAUUGAAAAUACAACAUAUUUUUAGUUUUUACCAGGUAUAUGGACCAAAUAUUUCCAAAAGAAAAAUGUAUUUAUUUUCUGAACAUGUAUUUUACUACAAAUUUUGGCAUGCUGAAUAUAUAUAAACCCACUUUGGCUUUAAUUGGUCAGUGCCCAAUAUUCCCUGGUAUAUCACAGUGCUGCUGACAAUCAGAACAUCUACAGCAACUGGAUUCAACUUCAAAUAGAACCUCAUCAAAUUGUAAUUUGGAGGACCUUUAAAUAAAAUUUGAACUAAUGAACUAAAAUCUUUCAAAAACAUAUUUUUUUGACUGAAUGCUUUUCUACACUACAAUCUAUUAUAUAUCUGUACUACAAGAAAAAAUCAUUUAAUUCAAAGAUAAAAUUCUAGGUAACAAAUAUAUCCAUGCAUAGUUGUAAAUGGAGAUUGCCUUAAUCUCACUGAGCUACCCUUCCAAUCCUACACUGUACACCAGUCAGCGUUUAUAUAUAGCAGCAUUUAAUUGUACAGCUACUUAAACAAAACAGACACCUGGGGUGAAGGAAGCGUCCUACUGUUCUUAAUUAAACAAUCACCUUUAACAAAUCAGAAAGAUUACUCAUGUCAGGAGCUAGGUGAUAAAGUUUGACCCUCUGUAUUGUUUAUAGAAAUGGGAAAAUACUGUGACAUCACAAAGAAAAUAAUUAAAUGACGUCUCAUUUAGGCCGUAUUGAUGGCUGACCUGACAAUUACAGUGCAGUGGACAGACACUAUAGAAACCAAAUACCACACAAAAAUGUUAUGUUACACUUCAAGUAAGACAAAUAAUUACAGAUCUAGUUGUGUACAAUACAUAACAAAAGGACCAUCUAUUUCAAAAACAACAAAACGUGAAUUUAUGAGAUCAACCAUUAAUUGGGUGCUUUAAAGCAUUUUUUGAUGUGUUGGUCCUAGUAUCA